UACAGAGGUGGCAAGCGUUGUUCGGAAUUACUGGGCGUAAAGGGCGCGUAGGCGGUUCGUUAAGUCCUGUGUGAAAUCCCCCGGCUCAACUGGGGAACUGCACAGGAAACCGCGUGGCUAGAGUCCGGAAGAGGAGAGUGGAAUUCCUGGUGUAGCGGUGAAAUGCGCAGAUAUCAGGAAGAACACCAAUGGCGAAGGCAGCUCUCUGGGACGGUACUGACGCUGAGACGCGAAAGCGUGGGGAGCAAACAGG
rnacentral:rRNA from 1 species